rnacentral:rRNA from 1 species
CCUACGGGUGGCAGCAGUGGGGAAUAUUGGGCAAUGGGCGCAAGCCUGACCCAGCAACGCCGCGUGAAGGAAGAAGGCUUUCGGGUUGUAAACCUCUUUUAUCAGGGACGAAGCAAGUGACGGUACCUGAUGAAUAAGCCACGGCUAACUACGUGCCAGCAGCAGCGGGAAUACGUAGGUGGCAAGCGUUAUCCGGAUUUACUGGGUGUAAAGGGCGUGUAGGCGGGAGUUCAAGUCAGAGGUGAAAACUAUGGGCCCAACCCAUAGCCUGCAUUUGAAACUGUACUUCUGGAGUGCUGGGGAGGCAAUCGGAAUUCCGGGCGUAGCGGUGAAAUGCGUAGAUAUACGGAGGAACACCAGUGGCGAAGGCGGAUUGCUGGACAGUAACUGACGCUGAGGCGCGAAAGCGUGGGGAGCAAACAGGAUUAGAUACCCUUGUAGUC